rnacentral:tRNA from 1 species
GUGAUCCGCAGGCGGUGGCCGCACCGGCCGGGCUGGAACCCCGGCGGGUGGCGGUAUAUCAGCGGCUGCUGUUCAACAACCUGCUCGGCCUGUU